rnacentral:lncRNA from 1 species
UUGAAUUGAUGCAAUUCCAUCAAAUUACACUUUGCACCCUUGCUGAGAAGUUAGUGGAGCGUGUCUGGUUUACCGGCACGCUAAUUGGUUCUAAGCAAAGGUGGAAAAGGGUGAUACAUUGUUUGUCAUCGUUCGAUAGACUGUGUGUGGUUUACCGGCACGUCGAAUAGGUGACUGUAACAAUGAAGGCACCAUGUAGAUUUGCAUGGUUAUUCACACCUACUUUGUGAUCCUCGGCAUCCCAGUCACAAACGAGAGGGGCAUAUCGAUAUUUAAACAUGCCAUUGAAAAGUUCAAUGAAUCUCCAAGAAAACCUAGGAAUUCUCAAUACAUUUAAAACUUAAGCUUAUGUUUUUCACGGUGAAGAAUUAGUGAAUCGUCAUUCACUUACCUCCAAGUUAUUUAUGUGUUGGAUUACGGCAUCCCUUUUCUAAUGUGUGAAUAAUGUUGUUGGUUCCUAGCCCUAGUUUUUCAUUUUGGGUGUUUAAUUAGGAAUUUAAUUCUAAUCAAACUUUGUCCUUUCUAUUUGUAGAUGUCUAACGCGAACAACACUGCUGCUAACUCAUUCACGCUAAUGAGUCUUUGUCAAAAAGUGACUUUCGAUGGAUCGAACUUUAGCGAAUGGAUAAGAUACAUUGGCACGAUUGCGCGUACGAGGACAAAGAGUAUGUCCUCGACGAAAAGCUCGAAAAGGUCAAUCCAGAAAUCGCUACUCCCGAAGAAAUAGUUGUCUUUGAGACCCAUGAAUGUGAUGCAACGAAAGUCCAUUGCAUCAUGAUAGCCACAAUGUACCAAGAAUUCCAAAAGUCCUAUGAGGACAUGUAUCCGUAUGAAAUGCAUCAAGACUUAAUGUAGAGGUACCACCAAAGCACGAACAUGAUCACCGCUAAGACAGGAAGUGGAGAAUCUUUAACCGUGUACUUGCAAAAGAUGCAAAGAUAUGUUGAUCGUCUUCGCAAGUUGAAUGUUAACUUUGGGGAAGAUUUGGCCAUCGACAUUGUUCUUCACUCCUUGCCCUCAUGCUACAACCAAUUUAGGAUGACCUACCACAUGAACAAGGAAGAGGUCACCCUAAGCAAACUCCAAGGGCUCCUAAGGACUGCUGAGAGCAACCUCAAGGAAAAGUUUAUUGCACCAACUCCCGCUCCACCUGCUGCUCCUGUUUUGGCAAUUGGGUAAAGAAGGGGCAAGAAGAGGAAGUCUCCGUCAAAUAGCCACCACAAGGGAAAGUCCCAAGAUGGUUCCUCUUCUAGUGGGACCAAGGAUGGCCCUGCUAAGCCCAACUCUAACCCAAAGGAGUCAGAGUGCCACUAUUGCCACAAAAUAGGGCAUUGGAAGAGAAAUUGCCCAGAAUAUCUGCAAGUUAUCAAGGAUGGGAAGAUCAAGCCAUCUUUCGUAGGUAUUUACACAAUUAAAUCUAAUGAUUCAUCUCAUGCUAUUUCUUGGGUUCUUGAUACAGGAUGUGGUUACCAUAUUUGUUCUAAUUUGCAGGGACUAAGACGAAAUAGGGAUGUGGAGUGUGGAAGAAUAAAUCUAAUCAUGGGAAACAGAAGAUCGUCGUCUGUCAGCAAGAUUGGAGUGUAUUCUCUAGUGCUUAGUAAUGGAUUAGGUUUAGAUUUAAAUAAUUGUUGCUACUCGCCAGAUAUGGCAAGAAACAUCAUUUCGUUUCCUGGUUUGUUUAGACAAGGAUUUAGAUAUUCGUUUAAUAAUGAGAAUGGUUCUAUUUAUGCUUAUCUAAAUGGUGUUUUAUAUUUUAAAGCGAUGCCUUGUAAUGGAAUUUAUGAAACAGUUAUGGUUGUAGAUAACCUAGGAAAUGAUGUGUUGUGUAUGGAUUCUUCCAAUAGUAUGGAUAAAGCAUGUUUGUGGCAUUGUCGUCUUGGACAUGUCAACAAGAAGCGCAUAGCCCAACUCCAAAAGGAUGGAGUGUUGGAGUCAUUCGACCUUAGGGAAGAUAACACGUCUGAAUCUUGUUUACUUGGAAAGAUGACCAAGACACCCUUCACUGGCACUUGUGAGAGGGGUGAGGGUUUAUUUGAUCGCAUACAUACCGAUGUGUGUGGGCCUUUUAGAUCCACCACAAAGGAUGCGAACCGUGUCUACGUGACUUUCACCGAUGAUUAUAGUAGAUAUGGGUAUAUUUACUUAAUCAAGCACAAGUGAGAAACGUUUGAAAAGUUCAAAGAGUUCAAAAAUGAAGUGGAGAAUCAAUUGGGCAGGAAAACCAAGAUGCUUCGAUCCGAUAGAGGAGGAGAGUACCUAUGUCUUGAAUUCCACGACUAUCUAAAGGAAUGCGGAAUAGUUUCGCAAUUAACGCCACCUAGGACACCGCAGUUGAAUGGUGUGGCAGAAAGACGUAAUCGAACCUUGUUAGACAUGGUUCGUUCUAUGAUGAGUCGUGCUUCACUACCUAUCUCAUUCUGGGGGUAUGCCUUAGAGACUGCCGCCCAUAUCCUUAACCGAGUCCCUACAAAGAAGGCUGCCAAAACACCUCAUGAGAUGUGGACAGGGAAAGCUCCCUCGUUGGCACAAAUCAAGGUUUGGGGCUGUGAAGUUUUCGUAAGACGAGAUACUCACGACAAACUCCAACCUCGUAGUGAGCGAUGUAUUUUCAUCGGCUACCCGCAGAGAUCCUUUGGAUAUCUCUUCUAUAGACCGAGUGACAAUGUUGUCUUCGUUGCGAGAAAAGGGGUUUUCCGAGAGCGAGAACUAAUAAACCAAGGAGACAGUGGAAGGCAGACCAAUAUUGAAGAGAUUCAAGAGUCGAGUGAUGAAGGAACCUCUACCACUAGCGCUCUACCCGAGGAGGAAACUCCGGUUGAACCAAUUGACGAGUCCUUACCUCUUAGACGUUCCGAAACAGAUAGAGUUCAACCGCAAUUUUAUGGUUUUCAUAUUACUACUGAAUGGGACACGUAUAUUAGUGAUGAUACACUAAUAAAUCUAGAUGAACCUAAUAGCUAUAAGGAAACCAUGGCAGGCCCAGAGUCUACAAAAUGGAAAGAGGCGAUGGACAGCGAGAUUCAGUCCAUGUAUGACAACCAAGUUUGGAAUUUGGUUGAUAAUAUGCCCAGACGUAAGAGGGCUGGGUGCAAAUCUAGAUGAACCUAAUAGCUAUAAGGAAACCAUGGCAGGCCCAGAGUCUACAAAAUGGAAAGAGGCGAUGGACAGCGAGAUUCAGUCCAUGUAUGACAACCAAGUUUGGAAUUUGGUUGAUAAUAUGCCCAGACGUAAGAGGGCUGGGUGCAAAUCUAGAUGAACCUAAUAGCUAUAAGGAAACCAUGGCAGGCCCAGAGUCUACAAAAUGGAAAGAGGCGAUGGACAGCGAGAUUCAGUCCAUGUAUGACAACCAAGUUUGGAAUUUGGUUGAUAAUAUGCCCAGACGUAAGAGGGUUGGGUGCAAAUGGAUCUUCAAGAAGAAGACCGACGUGGAUGGGAAUGUACACACGUAUAAGGCGCAAUUGGUUGCGAAGAGCUUUAAUCAAACUCCUGGAGUUGACUAUGAUGAGACCUUCUCACUAGUUGCGAAAAUAAAGUCUACAAGGUUGAUGCUAGCCAUUGUUGCAUUUCAUGAUUAUGAGAUAUGGAAGAUGGAUGUCAAGACCACUUUCCUUAAUGGGAAGUUGACUGAGGAUGUUUACAUAGCUCAGCCAGAGGGUUUUGUCGAUGCCAAUCAUCCCAAUAGAGUGUGCAAGCUUGAGAAGUCCAUUUAUGGACUUAAGCAAGCAUCUCGCAGAUGGAAUCUUUGCUUUGAUGAGAAAGUCAAAGAGUUUGGAUUUGUACGAAGCGAAGAUGAAUCAUGUGUAUAUGUCAAAGCCAGUGGGAGUAUAGUUAGCUUCCUCGUUUUGAAUGUUGAUGACAUACUGCUCAUGGGAAACGACAUCCCGACUUUGCAGGAAGUUAAGUCCUGGCUUGGGAAGUGUUUUGCUAUAAAGGACCUCAGAGAGGCUUCCUAUAUUUUGGGAAUAACGAUAGUGAGAGAACGAAGUAAGAGACUAAUAGGACUUAGUCAGAAUACUUACUUAGAUAAGGUACUAAAAUGUUUUAGUAUGGAAAACUUGAAGAAGGGAGAAUUACCGAUACAAAGUAAUACCAAAUUGAGUAAGACUUAAAGUCUGAGCACCAAAGCCGAGAUAGCUGAUAUGAGCCGAGUACCUUACACUUCCGCAGUUGGCUCGAUAAUGUAUGCUAUGAAUUGUACUCACCCGAAUGUGGCCUUUUCUGUGAGCAUGGUCAGUAGAUAUCAAGGGAACCCUGGUAGAGCUCAUUGGAUUGCGGUCAAGAAUAUCCUUAUGUACCUUCGGAGGACCAAGGAAUGGUUUUUAGUCCUCGGAGGGAGUGAUGACUUAAAGGUGCGAGGGUAUAGUGACGCCAGCUUCCAGACCGACAGGGACAACUACCGUUCGCAGUCGGGCUGGGUCUUUACCCUNGAGCAGUAACUUGGAAAAGUUCCAAGCAGGAAACUGUAGCUGAUUCAACAUACGAAUCUGAGUACAUUGCAGCGAGCGAAGCGUCAAAGGAGGCAAUAUGGUUAAAGAACUUCAUUGGUGACCUUGGAGUUGUGCCUGCCAUAAAGGAGCCUAUGGAAAUUUUAUGUGAUAAUGAAGGAGCGGUUGCCUUGACUAAGGAACCAAGGGAUCAUGGUAGAUCUCGGCAUUUCGACAGAAUGUAUCACUUUAUUAGACAUCGAGUAGAAGAAGGACACCUCGUAGUUAAGAGGAUAUCAUCGGAAGAUAACCCAGCAGAUCCGCUUAUGAAAGGACUAAGUAGGGUUAAGCACUUGCAGCACGCUAGGAGCAUUGGGCUGAAGGAUGAUGUUAGUUUUGAUUAGAUAGUUUGGAAACUUGUAAUAGAUAAAUGUAAUUGACAUUUGAUGAUUAAAUAAAGGAGUAUUAUUUAAAAGGUUUUUUCUUAUGUUAAUUGUUUAACAAUUGUUUCACUUUGCAUGUUUUGACUUCCAGAAUAAUUGAGUUUAUUAAGAAUAAUCGAAUUAUUCAAACAGUCCACAAUCGUUCAUAUGUUGGAAGUAUGUAUGAACGAAGAUUGUCAUGAAUUGGUGUGUAGAUUGUCUAAAUGGUAUUACACAUAGCAAAGGUUUGCUACAACGUUCAUGAGUGCUUAUGAACAAAGUUUUGAGCAUUGGAAUAAACCCGCGAUUGCUGGAAUCACUUUAUGGAAUGUACCGCAAGUGAUCGCAAGACGAUAAUAUCAUAUGGUCUUAAAACCAAGAUAUAUGGUUUAUUGUUUACUAAUUAGUUGUGCAUUGAUAAUGUGAAACCGCAUCAGUAAAUUAAUGUCAUAAAACACAUUGUUGUGUAUAGUUGAUUAGUGAAUAGUAAAUGCAUAUCAGUCGAAGUUUAUCUGUUACUUUUAUCCUAAGAGGGAAAAAAGCGAUAUCACGUCCGCUCGAUGAUUUGAUUUGACUUAUGUGUCAGGCUCGGUCAGGAUUAAAUUGAUGUGUUCAAUUAAGUUCGAUGACAAAUAAAUCUGAGAUCGAGAAACCAAUUUCUAGACAAUAAUUAUGACAAUAUUUCAUGAGAUUGUCUGCACGAUAUCAAAACAGAGGACUGUACAAUCCUUUAUCUAAAGGAUAGGAUACUGAUAAGAUCAAAGUAGACAGCAUAUUUGAGAGCUACGAUUGCUAAUCGUAUUGUGUUUGCAUUUAUAGUUACUAGAAUUAUCCAAGUGGGAGACUGUUGGAUUAGUGUCUAAGGUUGUAACUAUAUUUGGUAAGUACUUGACCCGAUUAUGCAUGGUCCUUUUGGGUUGCCUUCACCAUAGCAACUUGACAGGAUGAUUUAUAUAGAGAGAAGAUAUAUUAUUAUUAAUGUAUUAUAAGAAUAAUAUAUUACAGGAAUAAUAAUAUUAUUUGAUUGAUAUAAGUCAUAAAUUCAUUAGGAAUUAAUUUGGUGGCUUAAAGAGGCGAAUUGAAUAAAGGGGCAUAAACUGUCAACUGUAUGAUAGUUGUGUUUUGGGCUAUGAAUUCUUAUGGAUAUUGAGGGGGACAAUUUUUAGAGAUAAAGAUAUCUUAAAAUCGUCCAAGCUAUUAUCUAGAAGGAUCUUUGUAUUGCUUAGAGGCUAAGUUAUUCAAUUAGGGUUAAGGGUGUAACCCUAGUAGCUCAUAGUAUAAAUAGACCCCAUAGGUGGAGGAAAUUGGCCACUCUUUGAUUGAAGAAACCCUAGGGCCGAUUUCUCACUUCUCUUUCUCUCUCAAAUCAUCUCCUUGCUAGUUGGUUUUUGUAAGCCAUUAGAGGAGUGACAAUUGUGACUUUAAGCUCCAAGAACAAGAAGUUUCAAGCAAGCAACUCAAGUUAUUCUUCUAGAUCUGUUUUUCAUAUGUUAUGAAUUUUUUGUUUACAUUAGAUCUAUGAAUGAAAGCCUUGGAUACAUUGCAUGUUCAAUUAGAGAAACCUAGAUCCAAGCAUUAGGGUUUGCAUGUGUACAUAGGAAAGUUCUUAUGGCUCAAACUCAUCAGCUUCAUCUAGAGGUAUAAAAUUCAAAACUUUGCUCUUUAUCUGGUUAGCUGAUUGCAUGGACCAUUUCUAGGGUUAAAAGUCCCAAAGGUGGAGACUUUAUGAGUGUAAUGUACUCCAUGGACCUAGAUCUGUCCCAUUUCAGUGAUAUUUGUGUUAUAGAUCCAUAAAGUUUCCAUCUUGGUCGUUGUUAUGAGGUCAUGCUUGAGUUAUGAGCUUUUUAGAGUUGGGAAAUGAAAUGUUAUGGGAGUUAGUGACUUAUCCGGCCAUGCAAAGGCUUAAAGUCACCAACUUUAUGGAUUAAGAGGCUUAGAAAUGGUCUGAUCAAGAAGUUGGACGUGGGUCUUAACAAUUUAAAACCUCAAGAGCUUAGAGUCUGAAACUGGGGUUUACGCGGGGCGUAAUCUCAGUACUCACGGCGUAAGGGGUCGUGCACCCCGUUUCUGUGAGGACGUCGGGUACGCCCAACGUACAUGUUUGGUACGCGUAGCGUAACCUGGGGAGUUGACUUUUGUUGACUUUUAGGGUUUGGUCAACUUUAGGGUCUUUGAGCCAUGGGAGGGGUAAAAUGGUCUUUUACCCUUCUAAGAGUACUAAGAGAAGGAACUGUUGGAUUAGUAUCUAAGGUUGUAACUAUAAUUGGUAAGUACUUGACCCGGUUGUGCAUGGUCCUUUUGGGUUGCCUUCACCAUAGCAACUUGACAGGGUGAUUUAUAUAGAGAGAAGAGAUAUUAUUAUUAAUGUAUUAUAAGAAUAAUAUGUUAAAGGAAUAAUAAUAUUAUUUGAUUAAUAUAAGUCAUAAAUUAAUUAGGAAUUAAUUUGGUGACUUAAAGAGAUUAAUUGAAUAAAGGGGCAUAAACUGUCAAAUGUGUAAUAGUUGUAUUUUUGGGCUAUGAAUCCUUAUGGAUAUAGGCGGGGACGAUUUUAAGACAUGGAUAUCUUAGAAAUCGUCCAAGGCCUUAUCUAGAGGGAUCUUUGGAUUGCUUUGAGGCUAAGUUAUCCAAUUAGGGUUUAAGGUGAAACCCUAGGAGCUCAUAGUAUAAAUAGACCCUUAGGGUUGGAGAAAUCGGCCACUCUAUGAUUGAGAAUACCCUAGAGCCGAUUUCUCACCUCUCUCCCUCUCUCAAAUCAUCUUCUUGCUAGUAGGGGUUUGUAAGAUAUUAUAGGAGUGACAAUUGUGACUCUCAGCUCCAAGAAGAAGAAGUUUUCAAGCAAGUAACAACAAGGUAUUCUUUUAGAUCUGAUUUCAUAUGUUAUGAUUGUUUGUUUACAUUAGAUCUAGCCAUGAAAGUCUUGGAUAUAUUGCAUGUUCAAUUUGAGAAACCUAGAUCCAAGCUUGAGGGUUUUCAUAUGCACAUAGGAAAGUUCUUAUGGCUCAAACCCAUCAGUGGUAUCUGAGCCUUGAUUGGUUUCAAUUGAAUUUGAUGCUUAACUGUUUUGCUUGCUGAAAACCAUUUUUCUUGGCCUCUGUCCGACCCAACUCGGCGAGUCAGUGUCUGGACUCGGCAAGUUGGCCCUACUCGGCGAGUCCGAGCGUCAGACAGAGGAUAAUUCAGGAUUUUGUUGCUGUUUUGUCUUGGAUUUGAUACCUAAAUCGUUUUAUUAUGUGAAAAUCCGAAUUUUGACUUAAGUUAAUGAUUAUCCUUGACAUAACAAUAGAUAAUUUCAAAUCUUUUGAAUAUUGAUUACUUAUAUGAUAAAUAUGGACUAUUUAAAAUUAUUUGGUAAUUUUCUAAUGACUAAAAUUGGAUUAGGUCAAAUAUAGAUAAUUAUGAAAUUAAUUGUUUGAUUUGAGUUAUUUGUUAUUUGAUCCCUUUAGUUUUAAAAAGUUCAAAAUUUAUCCCGAAGUUUUGAAAUUUGAAUUUUGUGAUUAAAAGUUUAAUUUAGAAGAAUUUAAAUUUUAACCCCUAGAGAUUUACAAGUUUAAAAUUCAACCCUAUACUAUUAUAUUAUUAAAAGCUUAAUGAAUAUAUAAGUAUAAUUAAAAUGCUAGUCUUACUGAUAGUAGGUCUCGUUCACGAAGCCGGUCUAUAAGGUGGGUAUAAGGUUGCUGCCUACAAAAUGGCGCUUAAUGCGUGUACACUCACACCCACUACUUGCUUGACUGGUGGAGAGUCGUUAGCCGAACGGGUAGGAUAGGGAAACUCUCUCUCCUCAUUAAAAGUAUAAUGUUAAAAUAUAAAGUAACUACAUGUUUUUCAAAAUUUCCAAUCCUAGUUACUAUUGGCAAAAGUGAAUUGAUGCAAUCCCAUGAAAUUACACUUUGCACCCUUGCUGAGAAGUUAGUGGAGCGUGUGUGGUUUACCGGCACGCUAAUUGGUUCUAAUAAAAGUUGGAAAAGGGUGAUUCAUUGUUUGUCAUAGUUCGAUGGAGCGUGUGUGGUUUACCGGCACAUUGAAUAGGUGACUGUAACAAUGAAGGCGUUGUGUAGAUUUGCAUGGUUAUUCACACCUACUUUGUGAUCCUCGGUAUCCCAGUCACAAACAAGAGGGGCAUAUCGAGAUUUAAACAUGCCAUUGAAAAGUUCAAUGAAUCUACUGGAAAACCUAGGAAUUCUCAAUACAUUUAAAACUUAAGGUUAUGUUUUUCAUGGUGAAGAAUUAGUGAAUCGUCAUUCACUU